rnacentral:lncRNA from 1 species
GUAAGUGCAGAGCUUGUAAAUAGUAACGCCUAUGAGUAUUCUGUCUACCCUUUACAUACAUAAGUGACCCUCCCCUUUUCACUAGAACCCCAUAAUUAUUAAAACAUAUUACAGACCAGAAUGAGUCAAGAAAAAGUAAAAUUACAUCAGAAUUUUAAGCUACAACCAAGGAGCCUAAUUCAGACUCAAGGUCUAACAAUAUGAGAUGAACCAACUUCCAGGAUCAGGUUUCCAAAGCUUUCUCUUAUUUGGGAUGUGUCAAAGUUCCUCAAGACCUCAAAUGGACUCCGGGCAGUGCUUACAACCCAAAUAUAUUGCAGAAUUAAGAUAGUGCAGUGUGGAAGAGCCAACCCUCAAAUGUCCAAGUUAGAGGGAACUCAAGGUCCCAAAGCAAGACUCAUAAGAGAGGGGCGGAACUUAGAAUCUAAGAGGGAGUGCAAGUGAAUAGAGGGGGAAUUAGGGAGAGCCAUGGUAGGCUGGUGGUCAUACCCAGCAAUUAGGAGUGCUGGCACACCCCUGGCUAGUCUGUUAGCCAAAUUUUGAGAGUUGGGAUCUAUUGAGGAUCAAGUUCAGACCUAAGUAGCAAUUUGGAUGCUGUCAGGCCAUGAACCUUAACUCAAACACAUAGAAGGGAGUAGGGGUAUGUGGAAUUCACAACAAACAUGUACAUUAGAUGAAAAGAAAGAGUAGCAUAUUCAAUACAGAACAUGAACAACAAAGUAGACAAGAGUGUAGCAACUGUAAAGUAAACACAUAGGGAUGAUGCUGAAAUCAAAAUUAAGACAUACCAGUUUCAGGGAAACAAAUAAGUGAAAGCUAAAGUCUUGUAAACCAAGUUGCAAGCAAACAGUACAAAAGAUCUCAGAAGAGAGUUGAGUAUUGAAAUUGAGAGGUGUGUGUGUAAUGUAUUAUAUUCGAAGUGUUGAACUGAAGGUUCAAGGUGUGUAAGUGCAGAAGGGUCGUGCCCCUUUUAUAGUGCAGAAGGAAAGUAAGAAAAGGUAAGAAAAUAGGUCUGCAAUCAAUCACACAAAAUCUCCCUUUAGUUAAGGGAUUCUGAUUUCAAAUGGGUAGAAGACAAUUAAGGAAAGAAUUGGAUUAAAAUCUUUUCCAAAGUAACACAAGAAGGGUAAAUACACAAGGUUUAUUUAAGGUAAAAGUCCAAUGGUGCACGGUUUGUGAAAAAAUAAGGAAAGGGAAUCACUCACACAACCAGUAAAAAAAAUCAAAAUUGCAGACUUUGUUCGAAUGAACCAAAUCAGGAAAAGGUACAGAAGGUUCAAUUAGAGAAAAUCAGUAACAAUCAAUCAAACCCUAUUAAAAGGAAUUCAAAAUCAAUCAAUAGUUGGCAUAACCCUUUUGAAAGAAGAAUUUCUCAUAUAUUUAUGUGAAUACCAGAGGGGAUUGUCAAAUUACUUAGAAAAGAGUCUAACAUAGAAAGGUUCAGAAUCAUAGGCAAAGGGACACAAGUCUAGUUUGCCGGCUCACAAUGAGUCUGAGAGUCCAGGGCCACAAAGUGGAACCCUAACUCGCACACAAAAGAUCAAAAUUGCCAGGAAAUCCCCAAAUCUUAGGGUUCCAAAUUAAGUCAGCCGAUAGAGAUGAGAAGGCAAGCCACUCGAUAGAGGCUCAGGAGUCUUUUCCAAAGACUUAUGAGAAACAAACAAACAUGAUACACAGUCAAGAGCAUGAAAAACACGUUUUGAGAAAAACUCAGAACUUAAACAGGUUCUUAGGUAAAAACAGAUGAAUCAUGCUUAGUAAGAACAUAAACAUAGUCCAGUAAAGCAAACAACAUCAAAGAACUCACAUUAAACACAUAUAGUAGAAGAGUAAGGAAAACAUAACACGGAUUAACAUGCGAGUACAGGAGAAAAGAAAGUAGAAGAACAAUACAGGCAUAGUAAAAGAAGUCAUACGAGCAUAACAAAGACAAACACACAUAAAGAAAAAACAGAAAGAAUCAGAAAGAUAUUUUGAAGAAACCUUUUAGAAACCCUAAAUCGAAAUUAAACGAUUUUGAAAAGAGAAUUUGGGGAAAAAGUUCAGUAGACCACAGACAUAUUCCAGAUCUAAGAAAAUAAGCAAGUAAAGAACCUCAGAGAGCUUAGGGUUUCAGAGAAACCCUAGAAAUGAGAAAGGGUUGGAAGAAGGUCCGAUCUUGAGUCGGAUAAGUUAGAAUCAGGCUCCUAAUGCUUGAAUAUGCCGUAGCAUGGCCGGAGAAGCCAUAGAACUGUAGAUUUGAGAGGAUCUGAAGGAGAACCAUCGGGGUCAGGCCUCGAAGCUUCGAACAACCAUGGUUUGAUGGUGGGGGGGGGGAGUACCAACCAUCCAUGGCCUGAGAAGCCAUGGAUUCCGGUGAAAAUAUGGUAGAAUAAGGUGGGAGAUGGCUAGGGUUUCAGAGAGCUUGAGAGUGUUUUGAGAGACGAAGGUUUUCAAGGCGGCGGGUCAGGUGAGAAUGAGGGAGAUUAGGGUAGUCGUUUAGGUUUAAUUAGGAAAGGGCGAG